rnacentral:rRNA from 1 species
CCCUUAGAUGUCCUGGGCCGCACGCGCGCUACACUGAUGCAUGCAACGAGUUUAUAACCUUGGCCUGAAAGGUCUGGGUAAUCUUUUGAACGUUCAUCGUGAUAGGGAUAGAUUAUUGCAAUUGUUAAUCUUGAACGAGGAAUUCCUAGUAAACGCGAGUCAUCAGCUCGCAUUGAUUACGUCCCUGCCCUUUGUACACACCGCCCGUCGCACCUACCGAUUGAAUGGUUCGGUGAAGAUCUCGGACUUCGAUAUUUAUUCUUUAUUGAGUUUAUAUUGUGGGAAGUUAUCUAAACCUCAUCAUUUAGAGGAAGGUGAAGUCGUAACA